rnacentral:ncRNA from 1 species
AGAAACCUUCAGGGACAGGUGAAAUUCCGUACCGGCGGUAUGGCCGAAUGCCGAGCCCGCGAGCCCUUUAAGGGUUGAUCCGGUGAAAAGCCGGGGCCGACAGUAAAAGUCUGGAUGGGAGAAGGUGGUU